GACAGAGGGUGCAAACGUUGCUCGGAAUCACUGGGCGUAAAGGGCGUGUAGGCGGGACGGUAAGUCGGGCGUGAAAUCCCUAGGCUCAACCUAGGAACUGCACUCGAAACUACCAUUCUUGAGUGUCGGAGAGGAAAGCGGAAUUCCUGGUGUAGAGGUGAAAUUCGUAGAUAUCAGGAGGAACACCAGUGGCGAAGGCGGCUUUCUGGACGAUAACUGACGCUGAGACGCGAAAGCGGUGGGGAGCAAACAGG
rnacentral:rRNA from 1 species